rnacentral:rRNA from 1 species
AUUGAACGCUGGCGGCAGGCCUAACACAUGCAAGUCGGACGGUAACAGGAAGCAGCUUGCUGCUUCGCUGACGAGUGGCGGACGGGUGAGUAAAGUCUGGGAAACUGCCUGAUGGAGGGGGGUAACUACUGGAAACGGUAGCUAAUACCGCAUAACGUCGCAAGACCAAAGAGGGGGACCUUCGGGCCGCUUGCCAUCAGACGUGCCCAGAUGGGAUUAGCUAGUAGGUGGGGUAAAGGCUCACCUAGGCGACGAUCCCUAGCUGGUCUGAGAGGAUGACCAGCCACACUGGAACUGAGACACGGUCCAGACUCCUACGGGAGGCAGCAGUGGGGAAUAUUGCACAAUGGGCGCAAGCCUGAUGCAGCCAUGCCGCAUGUAUGAAGAAGGCCUUCGGGUUGUAAAGUACUUUCAGCGGGGAGGAAGGCAAUGCGGUUAAUAACCGUGUUGAUUGACGUUACCCGCAGAAGAAGCACCGGCUAACUCCGUGCCAGCAGCCGCCGUAA